GAUGAACGCUGGCGGCGUGCCUAAUACAUGCAAGUCGAACGGACAGACGAGGCGCUUGCUUCUCUCAUGUUAGCCGCGGACGUGUGAGUCACACGUGUAUACCCUCCCUAUAAGACUGAUAUAUCUUCGAAAAACCGUAGCUUAUACCGUAUAAUCUUUUGAUCCGUAUUGUUCGAAAGUGAAUUACGGUCUUUCUGUCUCUUAUCGAGGCAUCCGCGCUUCAUUAGAUAGUUGUUGAGGUAAAGGCGUACCAAGGCAAGGAUGCGUAGCCGAACUGCGAGGGGGAUAGGCCACACUGGAGCUGAGACACGGUCAAGGCUACUAAGGGAGGCAGCAGUAGGGAAUCGGACGCAAUGGGCGAAAACCUGACAGAGCAACGGGACGUGAGUGACGAAGGUCUUCGGAGCGUAAAACUCUGUUAUGAGGGAAGAACAGAUGUGGAAGUAAAUGUGCACAUCUUGACGGUAACUAAUCAGAAAGCAACGGCUAACUACGUG
rnacentral:rRNA from 1 species